UGGGGAAUUUUGCACAAUGGGGGAAACCCUGAUGCAGCGACGCCGCGUGAUUUAGAAGGCCUUCGGGUUGUAAAAAUCUUUUGUAUGGGAAGAAAAUGACAGUACCAUACGAAUAAGGACCGGCUAAUUACGUGCCAGCAGCCGCGGUAAUACGUAAGGUCCAAGCGUUGUCCGGAAUCAUUGGGCGUAAAGGGUACGUAGGCGGAUAAGCAAGUUAGAAGUGAAAUCCUAUAGCUCAACUAUAGUAAGCUUUUAAAACUGCUCAUCUUGGGGAAUGGAAGGGAAAGUGGAAUUCCUAGGGUAGCGGUGAAAUGCGCAGAUAUUAGGAGGAAUACCGGUAGCGAAGGCGACUUGCUGGCCAUAUACUGACGAUGAGGUACGAAAGAGUGGGUAGCAAACAGG
rnacentral:rRNA from 1 species